AUUUAAUUAGUAUAAAUUUAUAGUACAUUUAAUUUCCAAUUAAAGAGUUUUUUAAAAAAUUAAAUA
rnacentral:tRNA from 1 species